CAGUGAAAAGCCAAAAAAAUCAGAGGCAUUUAACUGUUAAUUAAAUAAUUGUAUUUAAUAUACUUCACUGG
rnacentral:tRNA from 1 species